CCUACGGGGGGCAGCAGUGGGGAAUAUUGGACAAUGGGCGAAAGCCUGAUCCAGCCAUGCCGCGUGUGUGAAGAAGGCCUUCGGGUUGUAAAGCACUUUCAGUGGGGAAGAAAGCCUUGGGGCUAAUACCCUCGAGGAAGGACAUCACCCACAGAAGAAGCACCGGCUAACUCCGGCCAGCAGCCGCGGUAAUACGGAGGGGGCGAGCGUUAAUCGGAAUUACUGGGCGUAAAGCGCGCGUAGGCGGUCUGAUAAGCCGGUUGUGAAAGCCCCGGGCGCAACCUGGGAACGGCAUCCGGAACUGUCAGGCUAGAGUGCAGGAGAGGAAGGUAGAAUUCCCGGUGUAGCGGUGAAAUGCGUAGAGAUCGGGAGGAAUACCAGUGGCGAAGGCGGCCUUCUGGACUGACACUGACGCUGAGGUGCGAAAGCGUGGGUAGCAAACAGGAUUAGAUACCCCAGUAGUC
rnacentral:rRNA from 1 species